AAUAUGUUAAGAGGUAUGGCUCUAAUGUGUUUUCCAUCAGGGAGGAUCAGAGUCUUGGAAGGUUUCUUUUUCAGAUAGGUGGAAAAGAUACUUCAGCUGUCUGCUGGCACAAGAGUGUCAUCUUGUCUUUGUUGUUAGUAGCCUGAGCAAGUAUUAUAGAUAUUUGCCAAAUUGAAAUUGUGCCUUUUUGAAAGUAAAAUACUUAUUACAGUCUUUAUAGUUUUGUAUCUCUGUAUAUUUUACCAUUGAUUACAGGUGCAGGCCCUAGCAGGUGCAGGUGGAGUAGACAAUCUCCAUGUACUGGACUUUCAGAAGUAUAAAGCUUUCACUUACACUGUAGCAGCAUCUGGUGGAGGAGGUGUGAAUAUGGGUUCCCAUCAAAAAUGGAAGGUUGGCGAAAUUGAGUUUGAAGGGCUUAUGAGGACUCUGGACAACUUGGGGUAUAGAACAGGCUAUGCUUACAGGCAUCCUCUCAUUCGAGAGAAGCCUAGGCACAAGAGUGAUGUGGAAAUCCCAGCAACUGUGACUGCUUUUUCCUUUGAAGACGAUACAGUGCCACUCUCUCCUCUCAAAUACAUGGCACAGAGGCA
rnacentral:sRNA from 1 species